UGGGGAAUAUUGGGCAAUGGGCGCAAGCCUGACCCAGCAACGCCGCGUGAGGGAAGAAGGCUUUCGGGUUGAACACCUCUGUCCUUGGUGACGAAACAAAUGACGGUAGCCAAGGAGGAAGCCCCGGCUAACUACGUGCCAGCAGCCGCGGUAAUACGUAGGGGGCGAGCGUUGUCCGGACUUACUGGGCGUAAAGGGUGCGUAGUGGGCCUUUUACGUUGGAUGUGAAAUACCCGGGCUUAACUUGGGGGGUGCAUCUAAUACUGG
rnacentral:rRNA from 1 species